rnacentral:rRNA from 1 species
UACGUAGGGUGCUAGCGUUAUCCGGAUUUACUGGGCGUAAAGCGAGCGCAGGCGGUUUCUUAAGUCUGAUGUGAAAGCCCCCGGCUCAACCGGGGAGGGUCAUUGGAAACUGGGAGACUUGAGUGCAGAAGAGGAGAGUGGAAUUCCAUGUGUAGCGGUGAAAUGCGUAGAUAUUGAGAAGAACACCAGUAGCGAAGGCGGCUUUCUGGACUGUAACUGACACUGAGGCACGAAAGCGUGGGUAGCAAACAGG